CAGUGUGAGGGCGAUCUGGCUGUGACAUCUGUCACCCCGUUGAUCACCAGGGUUGAUUUGGCUGAUCUGACUGGCUAGGCGGGUGUCCCUUUCCUCCCUCACCACUCCAUGUGCGUCCCUCCUGAAGCUGCGCGCUUCCCCAGUAGAGAUGGUACCGUUCAUUGGUCAAGGAUAUACGGUAGCUGCACUCCCCUGCUAGAACCUCCAAACAAACAAGCAAGCACAAGCAAGAAUAGGACCAAUUUCUUAAUCAUUACUACCACAUCCUGCCAACAUACUGUGAAGACAGUAGAUAUAUCUUC
rnacentral:snRNA from 1 species